rnacentral:rRNA from 1 species
AUGCAACCCAUGGAAACUUCAGUUGUUGCUCAGUGCUAUCCUGAGGAUAUGAUCACUAAAGAGAACAGAGGUAUUAUUUUGGAAGCGAACAGUACUGUCCCUACAGUUAUGCAGCACAUUGUUGCCUAUGGUGGUGGUGAUCAGUCAGUAAUAGAACCAAUCAGUGAUCCCUCUCCUCUUGAGAAGCAAGUUGAUGAAGAGGUCCCUCUUGAGAAGCAAGCUGUUGAGGAGACCCAUCUUCAAGUUGAUCAGAAUUCUGGUGAUUCCAUUUCUAAUACUUCUGCUCCUCCUGGUUUUUCUCAACCUAUUUAUCUUCCCAAAUCUCUUUCUGCUGAGAUUUCAACAACACUCAAUUCUCCUGAUAUUCCAUUGGCAGAUCUACUUGGUAAGGAAGGGGCUAGCACCUGGGAAACUCAUUUUGCCCCAAAAGUGAAUAGCAAGGACAUCAUACAGGUACCUAUUGAAUGGGUGAACUUUUUAUAUGUAUCUUUCCUUUCCCCUAACAAAUUUGAGUGGGCUAAGAAAUUUAUCAAGUCUCAAGUUUGGGAGAUCAUUGUUGAAAAUAAGGAGACUAAGAAAUGUCUGCCCUUUGCCAUCCCAGAAAACUACCCAGAUUGUAACAGUGUUCUUUGUCUGUUGAGUAUUCCCCAGGACCAAGAAAAUUCUCCUUCUGCAAAUGGAGAUUCUCAGGAACUUUCUGCCUCCUCUACAUCUGCCCUGCAUAAGAAUAGGAAGAGGAAGGGCAAAGGCCCUCUGGUGGAAACAGAGGUAAGAAGGAGUUGCAGAUUACAACAACUGCAGAAGGGUUUUAAAAAAUCUGUCUGUAUGGACAAAGAAUGUCUAGCAUGUCACUCCUUGCCACCUUCUAUUCCUACCAAAGUGAUUAAGAACCUGAACACUUCCUUUUGCAAGGUUAAUGCUCAGAAUACUACUGAAGAGAAGAUAUCAUGCAUCCCCAAGAAGGCAAAGACCAACUUUAAGGCUAAGGAAGGCAAUUUGAUGCCCAAGGGUGGUAGCAAGUCCAAGGAUUGCAACUUGGUGUAA